rnacentral:rRNA from 1 species
ACGGGUGAGUAAUGCCUAGGAAUCUGCCUGGUAGUGGGGGACGAACGUUUCGAAAGGAACGCUAAUACCGCAUACGUCCUACGGAGAAAGCAGGGACCUUCGGGCCUUGCGCUAUCAGAUGAGCCUAGGUCGGAUUAGCUAGUUGGUGAGGUAAUGGCUCACCAAGGCGACGAUCCGUAGCUGGUCUGAGAGGAUGAUCAGCCACACUGGAACUGAGACACGGUCCAGACUCCUACGGGAGGCAGCAGUU